rnacentral:rRNA from 1 species
GACGAACGCUGGCGGCGCGCCUAACACAUGCAAGUCGAACGGAGUCAAGAGGAGCUUGCUUAUCUUGACUUAGUGGCGAACGGGUGAGUAACGCGUGAGUAACCUGCCCUGGAGUGGGGGACAACAGUUGGAAACGACUGCUAAUACCGCAUAAGCCCACGGAUCCGCAUGGAUCUGCGGGAAAAGGAUUUAUUCGCUUCAGGAUGGACUCGCGUCCAAUUAGCUAGUUGGUGAGGUAACGGCCCACCAAGGCGACGAUUGGUAGCCGGACUGAGAGGUUGAACGGCCACAUUGGGACUGAGACACGGCCCAGACUCCUACGGGAGGCAGCAGUGGGGGAUAUUGCACAAUGGGGGAAACCCUGAUGCAGCGACGCCGCGUGGAGGAAGAAGGUUUUCGGAUUGUAAACUCCUGUCGUUAGGGACGAUAAUGACGGUACCUAACAAGAAAGCACCGGCUAACUACGUG